GAUGAACGCUGGCGGCGUGCCUAAUACAUGCCAGUCGAGCGAACGGACGAGAAGCUUGCUUCUCUGAUGUUAGCGGCGGACGGGUGAGUAACACGUGGAUAACCUACCUAUAAGACUGGGAUAACUUCGGGAAACCGUAGCUAAUACCGGAUAAUAUUUUGAACCGCAUGGUUCAAAAGUGAAAGACGGUCUUGCUGUCACUUAUAGAUGGAUCCGCGCUGCAUUAGCUAGUUGGUAAGGUAACGGCUUACCAAGGCAACGAUGCAUAGCCGACCUGAGAGGGUGAUCGGCCACACUGGAACUGAGACACGGUCCAGACUCCUACGGGAGGCAGCAGUAGGGAAUCUUGCGCAAUGGGCGAAAGCCUGACGGAGCAACGCCGCGUGAGUGAUGAAGGUCUUCGGAUCGUAAAACUCUGUUAUUAGGGAAGAACAUAUGUGUAAGUAACUGUGCACAUCUUGACGGUACCUAAUCAGAAAGCCACGGCUAACUACGUG
rnacentral:rRNA from 1 species